rnacentral:rRNA from 1 species
GAUGAACGCUGGCGGCGUGCUUAACACAUGCAAGUCGAACGAUGAAGCCCAGCUUGCUGGGUGGAUUGGUGGCGAACGGGUGAGUAACACGUGAGUAACCUGCCCUUGACUCUGGGAUAAGCCUGGGAAACUGGGUCUAAUACUGGAUAUGACUUCUCAUCGCAUGGUGGGGGGUGGAAAGAUUUAUUGGUCUUGGAUGGACUCGCGGCCUAUCAGCUUGUUGGUGAGGUAAUGGCUCACCAAGGCGACGACGGGUAGCCGGCCUGAGAGGGUGACCGGCCACACUGGGACUGAGACACGGCCCAGACUCCUACGGGAGGCAGCAGUGGGGAAUAUUGCACAAUGGGCGCAAGCCUGAUGCAGCGACGCCGCGUGAGGGAUGACGGCCUUCGGGUUGUAAACCUCUUUCAGUAGGGAAGAAGCGAGAGUGACGGUACCUGCAGAAGAAGCGCCGGCUAACUACGUG